UGGGGAAUAUUGGGCAAUGGGCGCAAGCCUGACCCAGCAACGCCGCGUGAGGGAAGAAGGCCUUCGGGUUGUAAACCUCUGUCCUUGGGGACGAAAAAAAUGACGGUACCCAAGGAGGAAGCUCCGGCUAACUACGUGCCAGCAGCCGCGGUAAUACGUAGGGAGCGAGCGUUGUCCGGAAUUACUGGGCGUAAAGGGUGCGUAGGUGGCUUGGCAAGUCAGAUGUGAAAUCCCCGGGCUUAACUCGGGUGCUGCAUUUGAAACUGCUGAGCUUGAGUGCAGGAGAGGAAAGCGGAAUUCCUAGUGUAGCGGUGAAAUGCGUAGAUAUUAGGAGGAACACCUGCGGUGUAGACGGCUCUCUGGACCGUUUCUGACGCUGAGACACGAAAGCGUGGGUAGCAAACA
rnacentral:rRNA from 1 species